rnacentral:lncRNA from 1 species
GCUGCUGGGUCUUCUUACGGCUUACACCAAGCGUGGGAACGGUAGCCGUCCAUUAUACUCUCCUGCUAAAGAGAAUUCCAGAGUAACCCAAAUUCGGUAGAAAGGUGCUCUCCAGGCCAUAGGAAGGAUGUAACUCAUAAAGGUCAUCCUCAGACAGUAGCUGUCGUGAACAAUUCCAUUUGGAAAAACAAAAUGCAGAGGGAAGAGAAAGAUGCCAUUAGCUACAUACUAAACACGGAGUGAUUUAUCAUUAUAGAACUACAUGAGUGUCUUAGGGUUUUACGGCUGUGAACAGACACCAUGACCAAGGCAAGUCUUAUAAAGGACAACAUUGAGUUGGGGCUGGCUUACAGGUUCAGAGGUUCAGUCCAUUAUCAUCAAGGCAGAAACAUGGAAGCAUCCGGGCAGGCCUGGUACAAGAUGAGCUUGAGAGUUUUGCAUCCUCAUCUGAAGGCUGCUAACAGAAUACUUGCUCACAGGCAGCUAGAAUGAGGGUCUUAAAGUCCACACCCACAGGGAUAUACCUACUCCAACAAGGCCACACCUACCCCAACAUGGCCACGCCUUCUGAUAGUGCCACUCCCUGAGCCAAGCAUGUACAAAUGAGCAAAUCAGCUUGAGUCACUUCAUAAAGACCAAGGAGAUUUUUAGGAUGAUAGUAGUUCAAUGACAUCAUUGAAAAGAACUUGUACAAAUACAGUAGAUGAAGUCUAUGAGGGUAGAGUAAGGCUGUCCCCUCAGAUCAGUGUUUAGGGCUCGACCAUCAAAUGAGGAGCAGAGUAAAGAAUUAGGUCCACUAGUGCCAUAUUCCCUGUCCCUGCUCUCUCUGAGCUGGAAUUGAUGAGACUGUCCACUGGUUGACGUCAAAGUGGGUUCAAAAUCCUUUCCUAUUCGGACAAUUUUCUUAUAAUGACACAUAAAUAAAUGAGAUAAAAUGAGCAAAAUAAAGGCGAGGGGGCAGAACAGUGGCUCAGAGGUAUGGUAAAGGCCUUGCCACUGAACCUGACGAUGGCGUUCCAUGGCACUCAGACUCACAUAGUGACUCUCCUGAUUCUUCCAAACGGUCCCUUGACCUCCACAGGAGUGCAUGACACACGCAGACCCACACAGUAAACAUAUGUAAUUUUAAAAUGAUGGGAAACUUUUUAAAAGUAAGAAACCUUUGACAUUCUUUAUCCCUUUUGGUUCAACUAGCAUCAUCCUUAGUGUUUGUUUGUUUGUUUGUUUGUUUUUCGGUUUUUCGAGACAGGGUUUCUCUGUGUAGCCCUGGCUAUCCUGGAACUCACUUUGUAGACCAAGCUGGCCUUGAACUCAGAAAUCCACCUGCCUCUGCCUCCCAAGUGCUGGGAUUAAAGGCGUGCACCACCACAACCGGCUCCUUAGUAUUUGUUAAGUACCCGAUACACAUUUGAUAAGAAUAUACAUUUGACUUCACUAAGAACUAUCAAUAAUUGUUACUCUAGAAUUGGCUCCUGGGGGUUAUUAUUUAGUAAUAAUUUUUGAGUUUUGUUAGUAAAUGUAAGGGUAAGUGAACAUUGUGACGAAGUAUCGCCUCCUCAGUAUUCUGAUUUUUCUAUUCAGUGACUGGGAAAUUUGUGUGUUGUCAACAGCUAGCAAAUCUGUGCUAAGUCAACAUAACCUGACUUAGAUAAGGGGCAGGCAAGCUUCAGGCCGUCAGCACGUGUGGCCCACUGCCUGGCUGUGCAUGUGCACGCUCUGUAAGGCAGUGGUUCCUGUGGGUAGGUCUGCAGCUGUUUUCUAGCCACACUGUCAGAACUAAGAGGACUAGAGACUCUGCCAACUAUGUUUCCUGCCUCUGUAUAGGAGAAGUUUUGUGGUCCUUCGUUUUGUUUGUGAGACCUGGGAAGAUGGCAGGAGAUAAUUAGAAGCUUACAGCGCCCUUGGCUUAUUAGUCUACUGACAUUGUGUUGACAAUGGGGUACGCACUGAUCUAGGAAACGGGGACUCGGUGCGAGCCUGCCUCUCAGGACAGCUUGAUCAGUUUCUGCUGUCCCGCCACAACCAGAGCACUCAUCCCUAAAAUGUUUCCAUUUAGUUGUGAUGAAGUCAGAACUCCUGUACAUUACAGUCAGGCCACUGUGCCACUGACCCCAGGCUCGUUCCUGUCCUGUGUGUUUUCUGCAUUACCGUUGCGAUGGUGUCUUAUUUGCUGUUUGUCCCUCCUGACCACACAGGCUUGUUCUCCUUCUGAGGUCAUGCUGCUCCAUAGGCACACUUUCCAGUGCUCAUUUGCUUUGGUACUUCUCCUAAUUUUUCAAAAG